rnacentral:rRNA from 1 species
UACGUAGGUGGCUAGCGUUGUCCGGAUUUACUGGGCGUAAAGCGCGCGCAGGCGGUCUUCCAAGUCAGUGGUGAAAGCCCGGAGCUCAACUCCGGAACUGCCAUUGAAACUGUUAGACUUGAGGAUGAGAGAGGUGAGUGGAAUUCCCAGUGUAGAGGUGAAAUUCGUAGAUAUUGGGAAGAACACCGGUGGCGAAGGCGGCUCACUGGCUCAUUUCUGACGCUCAGGCGCGACAGCGUGGGGAUCAAACAGG